rnacentral:sRNA from 1 species
UAUGGAUGAACUCUAUUUCGGUGGCGG